GUGCUGGAUGGACAGACCAGAAAGUUAGCACUCCCCUGAACAAGGAUGGAAGAGGUUCUAGUGACCUAUAUACCACACAUAUGGUUAAGGAACUGUCACCCACUUCGUGGCAUCUAACCACAAAUUCUC